rnacentral:rRNA from 1 species
CCAUUUCAAGGAGGGCGCAGGCGCGCAAUUACCCAAUCCUGACUCAGGGAGGUAGUGACAAGAAAUAACAAUAAACCGGCUUAUGCCGGUUUAAUUGGAAUGAGUACAAUUUAAACAUCUUAACGAGGAACAAUUGGAGGGCAAGUCUGGUGCCAGCAGCCGCGGUAAUUCCAGCUCCAAUAGCGUAUACUAAAGUUGUUGCAGUUAAAAAGCUCGUAGUUGGAUUUCUGUGGGGACGGAGCGGCCGGCCGCAACACGCGGUUCGAGCUAGCGCUUUCCCUACAUCCUGCCGCGAACCGUGCUACCAUUAGUUUGGUGGCGCCGGGGAUCGGCUCGAUUACUUUGAGAAAAAUAGAGUGUUCAAAGCAGGCCACACGCCUUGAAUAAGUUAGCAUGGAAUAAUAACUAAGGACUUCGGUUCUAUUUUGUUGGUGUUCGGGACUGAAGUAAUGAUUGAUAGGGACAGUUGGGGCGGUCUGUAUUCCAAAGCGAGAGGUGAAAUUCUUAGACCUUCGGAAGACAAACAGCUGCGAAAGCGUUCCGCAAGGAUGUUCCCUUUGAUCAAGAACGAAAGUUGGGGGAUCGAAGACGAUCAGAUACCGUCGUAGUCUCACCUAUAAACUAUACCAGCUAGGGAUCGGCCAACGUUAUUCUAUACCGACUUGGUCGGCACCUUAUGAGAAAUCAAAGCAUCUGGGUUCCGGGGGGAGUAUGGUCGCAAGGCUGAAACUUAAAGGAAUUGACGGAAGGGCACCACCAGCCGUGGAGCCUGUGGCUUAAUUUGACUCAACACGGGAAAACUUACCAGGUCCAGACAUAGUAAGGAUUGACAGAUUGAUAGCUCUUUCUUGAUUCUGUGGGUGGUGGUGCAUGGCCGUUCUUAGUUGGUGGAGUGAUUUGUCUGGUUAAUUCCGUUAACGAACGAGACCCCAGCCUGCUAAAUAGCGCGCGUGAGCUUUGCUCGCGGCGAGCUUCUUAGAGGGACUAUGAUGCGCGAUAGCACAUGGAAGUUUGGGGCAAUAACAGGUCUGUGAUGCCCUUAGAUGUUCUGGGCCGCACACGGGCUACACUGGCGCCUGCAACGAGCAUAUCAGCUGGCCCGAGAGGGUCUUGGCUAAUCUUUUGAACCGGCGCCGUGCUUGGGAUUGACCUUUGCAAUUGUUGGUCAUGCAACGAGGAAUGCCUUGUAAACGCGAGUCAUCAGCUCGCAUUGAAUACGUCCCUGCCCUUUGUACACACCGCCCGUCGCUCCUACCGAUGAAUGUUCCGAUGAAAUUUUCGGAGAGUGCCUGUGAACUUGGCUCUGCCUUGCGAACGGGAAGCUCAAAGUCACUUAAAUCGAACCAUUAA